AUUGAACGCUGGCGGAAUGCUUUACACAUGCAAGUCGAACGGCAGCACGGGUGCUUGCACCUGGUGGCGAGUGGCGAACGGGUGAGUAAUACAUCGGAACGUACCCAGUUGUGGGGGAUGACUAACCGAAAGGUGAGCUAAUACCGCAUACGACCUGAGGGUGAAAGCGGGGGACCGUAAGGACUCGCCGACUGGGAGCGGCCGAUGUCUGAUUAGCCAGUUGGUAGGUUAAAGGCCGACCAAGGCGACGAGCAGUAGCUGGUCUGAGAGGAUGAUCAGCCACACUGGAACUGAGACACGGUCCAGACUCCUACGGGAGGCAGCAGUGGGGAAUUUUGGACAAUGGGCGAAAGCCUGAUCCAGCCAUUCCGCGUGAGUGAAGAAGGCCUUCGGGUUGUAAAGCUCUUUCGGCAGGGAAGAAACGGCCUAGGUUAAUACCUUGGGCUAAUGACGGUACCUGAAGAAGAAGCACCGGCUAACUACGUGCCAGCCGCCGCGGUAA
rnacentral:rRNA from 1 species